UGCUGACGAGUCCCAAACAGGACGCAACAGCUGUCCA
rnacentral:hammerhead_ribozyme from 1 species